UACGUAGGUGACAAGCGUUGUCCGGAUUUACUGGGUGUAAAGGGCGUGCAGCCGGAGAGACAAGUCAGAUGUGAAAUCCACGGGCUCAACCCGUGAACUGCAUUUGAAACUGUUUCCCUUGAGUGUCGGAGAGGUAAUCGGAUUUCCUUGUGUAGCGGUGAAAUGCGUAGAUAUAAGGAAGAACAUCAGUGGCGAAGGCGGAUCACUGGACGAUAACUGACGGUGAGGCGCGAAAGCGUGGGGAGCAAACAGG
rnacentral:rRNA from 1 species